GGGGAGUUAAACAUAGUGUGUACGUGUUGCGCUCUUUCACCGAGUUGUACAAGGAAGCAGAACAGAAACUGCCUACUCUUUAGUUGACUGAUGUAGCUGGCAAGGAGGAUCAGACGGUGACACAGGUCUCAGCAGGUCCAGGCAGCCAGGGAAGACCAGUCUGUGACAGUGGUUAGCUCUUGAAACAUGGGACCAACACUUUACAUGUGUCACGUAUACUCCCUCUCCGGCCUCUAGGUCAUCAGGCUGCUGAUUAUGCCACACACCUGUCACCAUCGUCAAGUGCACCAGUGCCACAUGACACUCACCUGGACUCCAUCACCUCCUUGAUUAUCUUCCCUGUAUCUGUCACUCCGCUUGGUUCUUUUCUCAGGUGUUAUUGACUCUGGUUCAUGUCGGUGCGUUGUUUGAGUU